UAGAAUGAGGUAAGUUGGUUUAGAUUUAGUUAUGGACUUACUAAGCUAUAUAAACUUACUCUGUUUAUUUUUUGUUUUUUGUAGUUAACGUUUUGUGAAACUAGGCAGACGAAUCAACUUCUAAGCUCACACUAUCAAGCUUCUAUCUCGGCAAAGAAGAAGAGGACGAUCAACCUAAAGACAAGUCAAAGAAAUGAAUCAAGAUCAAAGGGAAGAUGCAACAAGUAAUACUCGAAAUCUGAUCCUUAUUUUUUAUGGUAAAGAUCGAGCUAUUCAGCAGUAUGUUGUGCCUUUAUUUAGUGAACUCAAUCCAGGGAUUGUAAGACCUGAAAUUGAGUCCCCUCAAUUUGAGUUAAAACAGGUGAUGUUCCAAAUGUUGCAAACAAUGAGACAAUUCAGUGGGAUUGUAACAGCCCAUUUUCAGUAGUGUCAAAUAUGGUGGUUUUGGGACCACA